rnacentral:rRNA from 1 species
GGACUACUAGGGUAUCUAAUCCCGUUUGCUCCCCUGGCUUUCGUGUCUCAGUGUCAGCAAACCCCCAGUCAGCUGUUUUCACCAUUGGCGUUCCAAAUGAUAUCUACGCAUUUCACCGCUCCACCAUUUGUUCCACUGACCCCUAGGUUGCUCAAGACCAGCAGUAUACCAAGCAGUUCCACGGUUGAGCCGUGGGAUUUCACAAGGUACUUACCAGUCCACCUACACACGCUUUAAGCCCAGUGAUUCCGCCUAACGCUUGGCACCUCUGUCUUACCGCGGCUGCUGGCAC